rnacentral:rRNA from 1 species
UACAGAGGUCCCAAGCGUUGUUCGGAUUCAUUGGGCGUAAAGGGUGCGUAGGUGGCGGGGUAAGUCGGGUGUGAAAUUUCGAGGCUUAACUUCGAAACUGCAUUCGAUACUGCCGUGCUUGAGGACUGGAGAGGAGACUGGAAUUUACGGUGUAGCGGUGAAAUGCGUAGAUAUCGUAAGGAAGACCAGUGGCGAAGGCGGGUCUCUGGACAGUUCCUGACGCUGAGCGACGAGGAAGCAGGGUAGGGCAAACAGGG